UGGGGAAUAUUGCACAAUGGGGGAAACCCUGAUGCAGCGACGCCGCGUGAGCGAAGAAGGUUUUCGAAUCGUAAAGCUCUGUCCUAUGAGAAGAUAAUGACGGUAUCAUAGGAGGAAGCCUCGGCUAAAUACGUGCCAGCAGCCGCGGUAAUACGUAUGGGGCGAGCGUUGUCCGGAAUUAUUGGGCGUAAAGGGUACGUAGGCGGUCUAUUAAGUCAGGUGUGAAAGCGUGAGGCUUAACCUCAUUAAGCACUUGAAACUGAUAGACUUGAGUGAAGGAGAGGAAAGUGGAAUUCCUAGUGGAGCGUUGAAAUGCGUAGAUAUUAGGAGGAAUACCGGUGGCGAAGGCGACUUUCUGGACUUUUACUGACGAUCAGGUACGUAAGCGUGGGGAGCAAACAGG
rnacentral:rRNA from 1 species